GACGAACGCUGGCGGCGUGCUUAACACAUGCAAGUCGAACGAAGAGCGACGGAAGCUUGCUUCUAUCAAUCUUAGUGGCGAACGGGUGAGUAACGCGUAAUCAACCUGCCCUUCAGAGGGGGACAACAGUUGGAAACGACUGCUAAUACCGCAUACGAUCUAACCUCGGCAUCGAGGAUAGAUGAAAGGUGGCCUCUACAUGUAAGCUAUCACUGAAGGAGGGGAUUGCGUCUGAUUAGCUAGUUGGAGGGGUAACGGCCCACCAAGGCGAUGAUCAGUAGCCGGUCUGAGAGGAUGAACGGCCACGUUGGGACUGAGACACGGCCCAGACUCCUACGGGAGGCAGCAGUGGGGAAUCUUCCGCAAUGGACGAAAGUCUGACGGAGCAACGCCGCGUGAGUGAUGACGGCCUUCGGGUUGUAAAGCUCUGUUAAUCGGGACGAAAGGCCUUCUUGCGAAUAGUGAGAAGGAUUGACGGUACCGGAAUAGAAAGCCACGGCUAACUACGUG
rnacentral:rRNA from 1 species